rnacentral:lncRNA from 1 species
ACUAGUAUAAUUUAAGAAAAUAUUUGAUUCAUUAAUAUUUGACACGACAUAAUACAUCUUCACAAGUACAGCACCUGUAUCAAAAUUUAAUAAGCAACAUAACAUACAAACAUAUUCUUUAUCAAUUUUUUUAGAAUGAACAUCAAUAACCAUAAUUACGCAUCUCUGGGUAACUAUGUACCCCAAGAAUACUUCUACGGGGCAUAGCCACCGUGACCGCCGCCUUCACCGCUGCCGGAGCCUCCACCGUAUCCACCCGCAUGCUCACCACCACCAGCAUAACCUCCUCCAGCACCGCCGCCAUUCCCAUGCCCACCACCUCCGGCAACCGACCCUUCCCCACCCGCAUAGCCCCCACCAGCCCCGGAUCCACCACCGUGUCCGCCACCUCCGGCAAUAGACCCAGCCCCAGCGGCAUAUCCGCCGCCCCCGCCAGCCCCCCCUCCUUCACCACCUCCAUAACCUCCUCCACGAGCUCCUCCAACACCACCACCAACACCUUCCCCACUACCAUACCCUCCUCCGCUUGCCCCCGCAGCCCCACCAGCAUAUCCACCACCCCCGCCAGCCCCCCCUCCUUCACCACCUCCAUGACCUCCUCCAUGAGCUCCUCCUCCCCCACCACCACCAGCCCNACCUCCUCCAUGAGCUCCUCCUCCCCCACCACCACCAGCCCCUUCCCCACUCCCAUACCCUCCCCCACCUGCCCCUGCCAGCCCCACCGGCGUAUCCGCCGCCCCCGCCAGCUCCCCCUCCUUCGCCACCGCCAUAACCCCCUCCAUGGGCCCCUCCGGCACCACCACCAACGCCUGCGCCGCUACCAUAACCACCGGCUCCCGCUCCCCCAGCUGAUCCCGCUCCACCUCCUCCUCCGUGUCCACUUCCGCCACCAUAUCCUCCAUCCGCAGAGUAUCCACUUCCGGCACCUCCUCCUUCACCGCCACCAUACCCACCUGCAUGUCCCCCACCACCUCCUCCUCCUCCACUGCCACCGCCACCUCCACCUCCUCCUCCACCACCUCCACCUCCACUUGCACCACCACCGGCACCACCGCCUCCUCCCUGACCGCCCCCACUCCCAUACCCAGCACCAUGCUCCCCACCACCAGCAUAUCCACCUCCUCCACCACCACCAUUGCCGGCUCCGCCGCCACCUCCGCCGCCAUGCUCCCCACCAUAUCCAGCCCCACCUCCUACACCACUUCCUCCACCACUAGCAUAGCCGCCGUGGUCGGCUACGGCACCACCAGACCCUCCGCCGCCGUAAGCAUUAGGAUGGUUGCUGGUAGCUUCUAGAAGCGUCCUUGCAGCAGAGGAUAUCGCUACACCCAACAACACAAAGAAAACAAUACUAACAACUCUGUUUGAAGCCAUUUAGAAUGUUAUGAAACGGUUGAUGAGAAGUGCAUGGAAUUGUAGGGUAUUUAUAGGCGC